UGAAAUUCAAUUUUUAAA
rnacentral:snRNA from 1 species